AUUGAACGCUGGCGGCAGGCCUAACACAUGCAAGUCGAGCGGAGCGGCGGACGGGUGAGUAAUGCCUAUGAAUCUGCCUGGUCGUGGGGGAUAACGUCCGGAAACGGGCGCUAAUACCGCAUACUCUCAGAUGAGCCUAGGUCGGAUUAGCUAGCUGGUGGGGUAAAGGCUCACCAAGGCGACGAUCCGUAACUGGGCUGAGAGGAUGAUCAGCCACACUGGGACUGAGACACGGUCCAGACUCGUACGGGAGGCAGAAGGGGGGAAGAUUGCACAAUGGGCGCAAGCCUGAUGCAGCCAUGCCGCGUGUAUGAAGAAGGCCUGAGGGUUGUAAAGUACGUUCAGCGGGGAGGCGUUACCCACAGAAGAAGCACCGGCUAACUCCGUGCCAGAAGCCGCGGUAAUAC
rnacentral:rRNA from 1 species